UACGGAGGUUGCGAGCGUUGUCCGGAAUCACUGGGCGUAAAGGGCGCGUAGGCGGUCUGCUAAGCGUGUGGUGAAAGCUCGGGGCUCAACCCCGAGUCUGCCAUGCGAACUGGUGGACUGGAGCACUGUAGAGGCAGGUGGAAUUCCCGGUGUAGCGGUGGAAUGCGUAGAGAUCCCGAAGAACACCAGUGGCGAAGGCGGACUGCUGGGCAGUUGCUGACGCUGAGGCGCGACAGCGUGGGGAGCAAACAGG
rnacentral:rRNA from 1 species